GAUGAACGCUGGCGGCGUGCUUAACACAUGCAAGUCGAACGGUGAAGCCCAGCUUGCUGGGUGGAUCAGUGGCGAACGGGUGAGUAACACGUUAGCAACCUGCCCUGGACUCUGGGAUAAGCGCCGGAAACGGCGUCUAAUACUGGAUAUGAGCGACGGUCGCAUGGCCGUUGUUGGAAAGAUUUUUUGGUCUGGGAUGGGCUCGCGGCCUAUCAGCUUGUUGGUGAGGUAAUGGCUCACCAAGGCGUCGACGGGUAGCCGGCCUGAGAGGGUGACCGGCCACACUGGGACUGAGACACGGCCCAGACUCCUACGGGAGGCAGCAGUGGGGAAUAUUGCACAAUGGGCGGAAGCCUGAUGCAGCAACGCCGCGUGAGGGAUGACGGCCUUCGGGUUGUAAACCUCUUUUAGCAAGGAAGAAGCGAAAGUGACGGUACUUGCAGAAAAAGCGCCGGCUAACUACGUGCCAGCCGCCGCCGUAAAAC
rnacentral:rRNA from 1 species